rnacentral:rRNA from 1 species
UACGUAGGGGGCAAGCGUUGUCCGGAAUCAUUGGGCGUAAAGGGCGCGUAGGUGGCCCCUCAAGCGUGCGGUGAAAGUCAGGGGCUCAACCCCUGAUCGGCCGUGCGAACUGGGGAGCUUGAGCACUGUAGAGGCAGGCGGAAUUCCGGGUGUAGCGGUGGAAUGCGUAGAGAUCCGGAAGAACACCGGUGGCGAAGGCGGCCUGCUGGGCAGUUGCUGACACUGAGGCGCGACGAGCGUGGGGAGCAAACAGG